AGCUUUGCGCAGUGGCAGUAUUGCAGCCAGUGAGGUUUAUCUGAGGCUUGAUUAUUACUAGUUGAAGAUGGCCAGCAUUGUGUGAUAGGAGCUGGGGGUCUGCAAGGAUGGGUCUGCGAACUGGCAGAUUCUGAACUGGUCUUGCAGAACC
rnacentral:snRNA from 1 species